UACGUAGGGGGCGAGCGUUGUCCGGAGUUACUGGGCGUAAAGGGCAUGCAGGCGGUCGGACGCGUUUCGGGUGACAGCGGGUGGCUUAACUACCCGAGUGGUCGAAAGACGGUUUGACUUGAGGACGCGAGAGGGACACGGAAUUCCGGGUGGAGUGGUGAAAUGCGUAGAGAUCCGGAGGAACACCGAAGGCGAAGGCAGUGUCCUGGGUCGAGACUGACGCUGAGGCGCGAAAGCGUGGGGAGCAAACAGG
rnacentral:rRNA from 1 species